rnacentral:lncRNA from 1 species
AGUAAUGUUAAUGUUGAAUUAUUGUUUUACCAUUAACUUAUUAUUCCAAGUAGCACUCUUAACUGAAGAACUACAUCUGAGCUGCCCUUUGGGUGUGAAUUGUCUGCAAGGAGGAUGCUGUUUCAGAGCAAAUGUAAUUCUCUUUCAGGGCAGUAGCCUGAGGUCACAGUCACAUUGGUCAAGUUGGAGAGGGCAGGCAAGGUACUCAGGGUAGCACAAAUAAGCUCUUCUGCUUAUCCACUGGGCCAGAAAAGACACAGCAUAGAAGGUAGCAGGCUCUGCCCUCACCUUCAUUCCAGCUCCGAGGUGCCCACCUGCACAUGGCUUUGUUUCAUUUUCCUGCUGAUCUAAAUCAUUGCUUCAUAGUCUCUCAUGCAGAGAAGGCUUCUCGCUUCUAUAGAGCAUUCACAUUAUUUUGCCCACACCAUAUAUAUGAGUUAUAGUUCUUGGGUUUAUUAGCUAACCGGAGUGGCUAUCUAAAGAUUAAUACCGUUGUAAUAUGAUCACAGGAUUAUAUAAAUACAUAUCAUUUAAUAUUGUAGCGUUCCUCCUGUAUUAUCUCGUCUUUCUAAAAACAGCUUUAUGAAGUGUGUAGGUCAAAUAGUGUUCAUGUGAGUUUGCAAAUGAGAACAUGAGGUGAAGAAAGGCUGGCUGACCAAGGAUACCCAGUCAGAGAAGGCUAGCUGGGUGUGGUCUCCUGAUCUCUUUGUGUUUGGUAAUUGCUUUUUGUUACUGAGACCUCUGGGAAGGAUGAGAGGCCCAUGCACUCUGUGUGUGUGUGUGUGUGUGUGUGUGUGUGUGUGUGUGUGCGUGCGUGUGAGAGAGAGACAGAGACAGAGACAGAGACAGAGACAGAGACAGAGAGAGAGUUAUAUGCAUGUGUGUGUGCUUGCUCAUGAAGUAGCCAGAACAGGAAGGAUGUUAGGCAGGCAUCUCCUCUAUUGUUCUUCUCAUCAGUGCUUUGAGACAAGCUUUUUUUUUUUUUACUGACCUGGAAAUUCAUCCUUUAAGCUAAGCUUUCUGGCCAGUGGGUAUUCUGCAUCUGCCUCCCCUGUCCCACAAUCCUAAUGUUACAUACAUGUAUAGCUGCGCUUUGCUAUGUAGAUGGGUUCUGGGGACUCAAACUCAAGUCUUCUUGCAAAACAAGCACUUGUAUCCAAGGAACCAGCUUCCCAACUCUCUACUGCAUUUGGAAUACUUCGAAUCUAGUUAAUAAUCCUAGAAAGCAUUGAACCGGAAACCCAAAGAGUUUAUUUUAUUUGAAUUCCCAGCACUUUUGGAAGACUACAGUACCACCGCCACUUUCAACUGAGAAGCUGACUAGUUCCGUUAUUAUUUUUUUUUUUUAAAUAUGAGACAGAUACCUGUAUCCAUGUAGCUGAGGCUGGCCUGUAACUUGCUGUGUUGCUCUGGCUGCCCUUGAGCUUGCGGUGGUCCUCCUGAGCACUGGGAAUACAGCUAUGCGCCACUAUACCUAGUUGAGAAGAUAAGAUAUCUAUUACGUGUACUGAGGUAAAUCCUUCCAGAGUAAGCAGCCCUUGACUGUUAGUGUGGUUUUAUUUCCCCCACCCCCCAGCAGCUCUCUGUGCCUCCAACCGAUGGUUUGUGUGGUUAGGUGGAGAAAUGCCUUCAAAACUCAUCUGUCUUCCUCACACCAUUGCUCACUAAUGCUGGACAAAUAUUUAUAUCCUACAACGCCUUUUAACUGUGUCUGAACAUAGGGUAAGUUAGAAGUCAGAGUACGUCACGGUGAAGAAAGUUUCAUUGUGUGACAAUAACCCUGCAGUAAGGACUCCAGUCUCUUUCUCCAGAUUUGCUCUGGGCCCAGAAUAAAUCCUACAUAUUUGCCUCAACCCCUCAGAGCUUCCCUCCCCAGUGCAGUGAUUAACUUCUGUUAUAAGCAUGUUUUGUCCAGCCUUUAGGCUUUGUGCUGGACUGAGCAGGCAAAU